rnacentral:rRNA from 1 species
CGGGGGGGGCAAACGUUGUUCGGAAUUACUGGGCGUAAAGGGCUCGUAGGCGGCCAACUAAGUCAGACGUGAAAUCCCCAGGCUCAACCUGGGAACUGCGUCUGAUACUGGUUGGCUUGAAUCCGGGAGAGGGAUGCAGAAUUCCAGGUGUAGCGGUGAAAUGCGUAGAUAUCUGGAGGAAUACCGGUGGCGAAGGCGGCAUCCUGGACCGGCAUUGACGCUGAGGAGCGAAAGCCAGGGGAGCAAACGGGAUUAGAUACCCCGGUAGUCCUGGCCCUAAACGAUGAAUGCUUGGUGUAACGGGUAUCGAUCCCUGUUGUGCCGAAGCUAACGCAUUAAGCAUUCCGCCUGGGGAGUACGGUCGCAAGGCUG